UAACUGUUGCAGGACCUCCAAUUUAGAAC
rnacentral:piRNA from 1 species